rnacentral:misc_RNA from 1 species
GAUGAAGAACGUAGCGAAGUGCGAUAAGUAGUGUGAAUUGCAGAAUUUCGUGAAUCAUCGAAUCUUUGAACGCAAAUUGCACUCUCCGGUUUUCCGGGAGAGUAUGCCUGUUUGAGGGUCAGCCUAAAUAAAUUCGGCUUCGUUGCUGUUGUUUUCGCGGUAACGUUUUUAGUCGGGAUUUGGGUCAUCUUAAACCGAAAGGUUUUUAAGCGACUUAAAAUUUUUUUACGAUCCCACGAACGUUUCUAAGUACUUCUUACACGUUCAAGGUAUCGAAAACCCCUAUUAGGCGUGGCCGUCGUAUCGGAUCGCGUCCAUAAUAUUUAUUCUUUAACUGACCUCAGACAGGUAAGAAUACCCGCUGAACUUAAGCAUAUCAAUAAGCGGAGGA